GCCGGGCAUAGUGGCGCAUGCCUGUAAUCCAGCUGCUUGGAGGCUAGAGAUGUUGAAUGGCUUGAGGUGUGGAUCCCUGGUGGCGGUCGUGCUAUGUCGAUCUGGUGUCCGCGCUAAGGCGGGCGUUAAUAUGGUGCCUAGAGAGGAGUCUCGAGUCACCAGGUUGGUUAAAGAGGAGCGUACCGGCCCAGGGUGGAAACACAGCAGGCAAAAGCUCCCGCGUUCUGCAGUAGUGGGAUAGCAUCUGUGAAUAGGAAGCCGUCAACAGCCAUGCCAAGAUGGUCGAACUCAUUUCCAU
rnacentral:SRP_RNA from 1 species